GUUCCAUGAUGAGGGCGUGGGGUUCUAAUCUCCAAGUCACUCCCAGUGCUCAGUUGCCUGAGAGUAGAACUGUAUUUGAGAUAUGGAAACUCCUAUCUUAUAUAUAAAAAGCAUUGUUGUUACCUGGCUGAGCUCCAGUUCUGCUUCCUGGGUGAUUGGGACCAUCCUCCGCAUCCUGUAUGGACUGGGGCUCUUCCUCCUGUUCCUUCCCUCCCUCCAGAGGAAUUUGCCCUUACAACCACCUUACAAAAGGAGAAACGUCAGGAAGCAUCAAGUGGAGCCAAGAGGGAGGAGAAAGGAGCAGGAAGAAAAGGGGAGCUUUGAAAGAAUACAGAGCUGGCUGGAAGGACCUGGCAGAAUUGGGCGGUCUGAUGUCCCUUUCACAAAGCUACCUGGGGAGGCUGUCUUGUAAGGGAUGCUUCCAUCGCUUGUCAUCUCAAGACUCCGCUGGCGAAGCAUGCGAGACAGCGUCUGCUAGAGUCCACCAGCCAUGUGGGAAGCCUGUGGAAGGUGCUCCUCUCACCACGAAUCCAGCACUUUCCCUGGCUCUUCUGACCCAGCACACUCUACCUUUGGCCUCCAUUCUGCCUGCAGAACCUCCAUCUGCCUUGACCAUAACUCCACUAGGCCCUGUUGCCACGAGCUCAGCUCCAGCUCACUCCUCUUUCCCAUCUACCAACUCAGGCCAUGGCCGCACGAGCUGUCGCAUUGAGUUCCUCAGCAAAUCUAUGAAUUAUCCAUUUGUUGGUUUGAGUCAAGGGUGGAGGAAAUGUCCUGUAGAAAGUUCCAAGCAUGCCAGGUCUUCAUUUUCUUACUGGACAUGGGCUAGUUUAGGAGCAUCGUGUGAUGGAGCAUAAAGGGUGGACUUUGAGUACAACCAGGUCUGGGGCUGAACACAAGAUUAGCCAUUCGUGAACUGCCUGACCUAAGACAUGUUCUUAAUCAUUCUGAAUUUCAGUUUCUCAAUCUGGGUAAAGAGAAUAAUAAGAUUUACCAGUAGGAGUUAUAGGAUUUAGUUUCUUUUCUGGUUCUGUCAUCUACUCUGUAAUUUUGGCAAGUCAUGUGACCUCUUCAGGCCUACUUAUCUUUGAGUGAAAAUGAAGGUCUUAGUGGUUCUCCACAGGAAUAUGAUUUUCUCCCAUCCGGGGGCAUCUGGAAGUGUGUGUGUUCUUGAUUGUCAUGAAACUAAGGGAAUCAAGAACGUAAAGUGCCCUGUAAGGGGGAGGACAGUCCCAUACAACAGAGAAUUGUUCCAUCAGAAAAUCAACGUAGCCCUGUUGUGAAACCCAAUUAGAUCAUCUCUGAAGUCCUUGUCACCUUAACAUUUCAUCAUUUUACUCUAUGUCAUUGUUUCCUUACAAUUACGAAGGAUGAAGUAGAUAAUUAAAUGCUAUGAGCCACCCUGCCACACAUGAGCAUGUUUAUCAAAACGAAGGAUGGUGGAAUAAAGAACUGGCUUUUUUUGGGUUGGAGUAAAGGGCUCAAGGCAAGUCUCAGAGCGUGUGAGACAGAAGCUUCCCUGGAAAUA
rnacentral:lncRNA from 1 species